rnacentral:rRNA from 1 species
CGUGCAAGUCUGAUGUGAAAUCCUAGGGCUCAACCCUGGAACUGCACCAGAAACUACAUGGCUUGAGUGUCGGAGAGGUGAGGGGAAUUCCCGGUGUAAGGGUGAAAUCUGUAGAUAUCGGGAGGAACACCAGUGGCGAAGGCGCCUCACUGGCCGAUAACUGACACUGAGCUGCGAAAGCUAGGGGAGCAAACAGGAUUAGAUACCCUGGUAGUCCUAGCUGUAAACGAUGCGGAUUAGGUGUUGGGAGUGUCGAUCCUCUCAGUGCCGAAGUUAACACAUUAAAUCCGCCACCUGGGGAGUACGUGCGCAAGCAUGAAACUCAAAGGAAUUGACGGGGACCCGCACAAGCGGUGGAGCAUGUGGUUUAAUUCGAGGCUACGCGAGGAACCUUACCUAGGCUUGACAUGAUAGGAGUAACCGGGGUGAAAGCCCUGGUGACCGUAUCCAAUCGGAGCUUAUCACAGGUGCUGCAUGGCUGUCGUCAGCUCGUGCUGUGAAGUGUUGGGUUAAGUCCCGCAACGAGCGCAACCACUGUCCCUAGUUGCCAUCGGGUAAUGCCGGGAACCCUAGGGAGACUGCCAGUGAGUAACUGGAGGAAGGUGGAGAUGAUGUCAAGUCAGCAUGGCCCUUACGCCUAGGGCUAAACACGUGCUACAAUGGCCGGUACAAUGGGCCGCGAACCCGCGAGGGGGAGCAAAUCCCAAAAAGCCGGCCCCAGUUCGGAUUGCAGGCUGCAAUUCGCCUGCA